rnacentral:rRNA from 1 species
GUAGGGAAUAUUCCGCAAUGGACGAAAGUCUGACGGAGCAACGCCGCGUGAGUGAUGAAGGAUUUCGGUUCGUAAAGCUCUGUUGCAGGGGAAUAAAAAAAUGAAUGUACUCUGCGAGAAAGGGACGGCCAACUUCGUGCCAGCAGCCGCGGUAAUACGAAGGUCCCUAGCGUUGCUCGGAAUCAUUGGGCGUAAAGCGCACGUAGGUGGUUUUGUAAGUCAGAUGUGAAAGCCUCAGGCUCAACCUGAGAAGUGCAUUUGAAACUGCAGAACUUGAGUACUGGAGAGGUGAGUGGAAUUCCUGGUGUAGUGGUGAAAUACGUAGAUAUCAGGAGGAACAUCGGUGGCGAAGGCGGCUCACUGGCCAAGUACUGACACUGAGGUGCGAAAGUGCGGGUAUCAAACAGGAUUAGAAACCCCGGUAGUCC